rnacentral:lncRNA from 1 species
ACUGCAGCCUCAAACUCUUGGGUUCAGGUGUUCCUCUGGCCUCAGCCUCCUGAGUAGCUGGGACUAUAGGCAUGUAGCAACAUGCCCAGCUAUUUUUUUCAUUUUUAGUAGAGAUGGGGUCUAUGUUGCCCAGGCUGGUCUUGAACUCCUGGCCUCAAGUAUCAGAUGGUCUUUAUAUGAUUUUGUUAGUAUAAAGUAAUAGAAGGGAAGGACAUAACGUAGGUUAUUAAAAUGGUAUCACACACCAUUUUGGGUCCUGCCUAUAAACCAAAAACAAAAUGCUAAGCCAAACCAACCAAAUGGACCCCCUUUGGGCCAAGGGAAGCCUGAAAAACUAAAUUCCCAGCUACGAUGGGAAGGGAGGUUGCACAAGCCUUGUUAUAUCCCUUCCCUUUUGGAGCUUAGGCACAACUGACCAGCAUUAACGUUAAAAUAUGAAGUCAUAGGACUGACAAAACAGACUCUUUAUGACAAUAGGAUCCCAAAUUUCAACCUGACUCUGGUAUAGCAUCACAUGACAGAAAGGAUAUCUUGAAGAAAAUAAGAAUAUUUUACCCCAAAAUAUAUUUCUUUGACAUAUUUUUAAAUGGCCCUGCAAAGCUGCCU